UACAGAGGGUGCAAGCGUUGCUCGGAAUCAUUGGGCGUAGAGGGUAGGUAGGUGGUCUCAUUUGUCUGGGGUGAAAGCCUUGAGCUUAACUCAAGAAGUGCCCCGGAAACGGUGAGACUGGAGUCUUGGAGAGGGUCGUGGAAUUCCCGGUGUAGCGGUGAAAUGCGUAGAGAUCGGGAGGAACACCAGAGGCGAAGGCGGCGACCUGGACAAGCACUGACACUGAACUACGAAAGCGUGGGGAGCAAACAGG
rnacentral:rRNA from 1 species